GAAGCACCGGCGGAGGUGAGGUUUUAGUAGUAAUUUCUCUAAUUUGUUGUACUUUGCGUAAAUCUAAUUUAUGCACCGGCGCAUAGUUGGAUAAUUUCUCUAAUUUUUUUGAGUUUAUUUAAUUUUUUAGGUGUGUGUUGUUUAGUCUAAUUUUUUUAUUUUAGCUCGGUGAUGUUGAUCAUUCAUUUUUUCUUGUGUUGUAGGCGUGUGUUGUGUGAGUUCUAUUGAUGGGCAUUUUGUUUCUAAUUUUUUUAAGUGAAUUUGGAUGCGCAUUAUUUUUUCUAAUUUUUUAAGUGAAUUUUGAAAUUCCAAAUUCCCAAUUCCAAAAUUUCGAUUUUUUGGAAGAAUAUAGCUCAUACAAUUAUG
rnacentral:lncRNA from 1 species